AUAUUCCUCCAGCACGUUGGAGUUAAAAAGGUGCUUUGGAAGUUGCCUGCUGGAUCCUUAACAGCAGCUCUUUGCAGAUACUUGAGAAGAGGUAACCGGACCUGUGUACAGGAUGGAACUGGAUUUGUGCUAAGUGGUUGUGUGUGUUUGGAGAGUUAGUAUCUGGAAAUCUGUGCUUCUCCUUGUCUUUCUCCCCUGUGGGUGGACUGUCUACUUAUACAGGCUUUAGAAUUGGGUCUGUGCAAAGACUGUACUAAAACUCCACACAUGUAACCAGGACAAAGGAAUUCCUCUUUUGCUUUGCAGGUAAAGUUUUGAAGGGAGGGUUCUUGAUCAGCCGUCAGUGUGUUUCAUUAUUCAAGUCAAACCUCCACCCCAGACUGAAUUUCUUUGCCGCCGCUGCUGCUGCUGCUGCUUUUGCUUUGAUUCUGGUCUGUCUUGAGGAAGGCGUGCAGCCACACCCUGGGAGAAAGCAGAACAGAGACAGAGAGAGAUUUGAAGGGCAUCCAGAUCAUUUGAAGCCUGCCAGAUUGGCUGCAUGCCAGAAUUACCCCAACUCUUCACCUAAAAUGGACAGUAAGCAUGGUCAUCUCCUGCUGAGAUACCUACAGUUGUUGUAAGCUAUUUAAUUAUUAAAUUUUGUGUAAAGCCAGUGAGCACGCAUUGUACUCUAGACAGUGAUGAACUGUUUGUUGGUGUCCUUUCUAAGACCUAUUAAAUGGGCACAUUGUUCCUUUUCCCUUUGUGUAUACAUUGUGUAAAUACUCCCCUUGUGGGUCUGGGAUGCUCACAUUCAAAUGAGAAAGGCUUGGGUGGUGGAGCAUGACGACGAAUCUUGUGUGCGGUUCAAUCCCUACCAUCUCUGGUGAAGGUAUAUCAGGAUAAUAAAUUUAUUUUGUCGGAGGCCCUGGAGAGCUGGGUUGACAAUCAUUGACUUGGUUCCAGAAAGUCUCCUGAGCAAGGCCCUUGGCAGCAAAAAUAAGAAACCCUUAUCUUCUGAAGUCGCUCUCGGUCUAGGCUAUGAAAAAGACAUGAAAUGUUGUUAUGAAGAUGAAUCUUAAUGCAUUCCUCGUUUCCAGGGAGAUUGUAAAACUUGCUGUGCAGCUUCCAUAUGUACUCUAUGGCUGGAAUAAAUGGUAGCUUUUUAUAGAGCUGGUUUGUUUGAAAGAGGAUUCUGCUGCUUGUGGGAGGGGCCAUAGAUCGGAGCAGCUGCUUUGCAGGCAGAGGAUUCCAGGUUCAACCCUUGGCAUCUGCAGUGGAAGGAUCAGGUAGCAGAUGCAGGUUUGGAUUCUGAGUGUGCAGCUGCUUUUCUGAAGAGAAGAUGAGAAACAAUCCCACACGAACUAGAAAUGAGAUGUCGGAGAGGCCAGACUUCUGUGGUAGUGCUAAAUCUGCAACGUGCAUUUGGAAAGCUCAAGAGAUGGAUAUGUGCUUGUGCUCUGGAUCUAAUCAUCCCAUUUGAAGCCAGGAAAGAAUGUCAAACUGGUCUAUAAUUUUUUUUUAAUGCUUUUCUGUAUCCAAGUAUGUGCUGCUCGCUCAGCUUUCAGCUAGGAUUUUCUGAGUGAUAAUAUCUCUGGCUAAUAAUAGCGCUUAGCUUGUAAUCAGUUUGACAAUACAUGCAAGACCAUAUAUUGCAAAGAUGUUCAUCGGGCUUUCAAUGUUGUGCAUGCUUAAGAAGAAGCGCAGAUUAAAGAUUUAACCCUGUUGGGAGAGAAUCAUGCCAGAUGUUGAUGGCAUGUCUGACAAAUAAGUGAAUUAAGGAGGACAGAAAUAUGGUUUAAUAUUUAAUAUUUAAUUUUGACAAAUACCAUUUUUAGUGUGGAUGUCUUGGCCUCUGACACAUUUUCAAGUCCUAACCGGGCACAAGCUAGUUGCAGGAGAUUCAGGGGAUGGUUUGCAUUAAACCAGUAAGCUAAGGCUCAACUUUUCAACAGGCCUCUGCAACUGUGCUUUUAACAGAAGCGUGUGCAGACUGUGAAAAGCAUCACCUUCUGAUUUCUGCUGUUAAUGGCAUAAGAACAAAACAGACAGGGUUUCCUGGUUAGUUGGCAAACUCACAAAUGCUGGAAGCCAGGGUUACUAUUCCACUGUACACAAAAAUAAAUCUGAGGGUUUUUCUUCUUACUCUGAAUGUAUUAAUGCAGACUAUUGUAUCACACACAUACACUCUCUAACUGUACUCAGUAAUACUGG